UAACUGUCUGCCACGUGUGCGGCUCUCUCUAAUUCAAAAAGCUCUCUCAAGAAAGCCGACUCUCUGCAAAAUCACUUGUUUUGAAUUAUUUUUAAUCAUUUUAAUCAAGAGAACUCUAUGAAUUUGUCAAGAGAGCUUCCCAUUGGAGGUGCUCUUACACUUGUCAAAUGACACUUGAGAGCUUAUCUUUCUUGAUUUUUCUAU